GGCUCCGUAGCUCAGCCCGGUUAGAGCACUUGGCUCUUAACCAAGGUGUCGCGGGUUCAAAUCCCGCCGGGGCCA
rnacentral:tRNA from 1 species